UUCAGGGCAAAUUCAUUAUGUGACUUUUUGUACUUUAUAGAUUCAAAGAGGGUCUGGAGUGUCUAGGUCUCCUGCCUUACAUGAAUAGACACUCAAGCCUCUUCAGAGAGGUUUUCAUCUAUGCUGAGCCUCUUUUGGCCAAAGACAGCUUCUCUCUGCAAAGCAGAGCUCUCCCCACCUGGUACCAAUCAAAAAGCAAUAGAGAGCAGAGUCAUAUGUUUCUGGAGGGACUGGCUGCUGGAGAGGGGAAUGCAUACCAUUUAACGCUGAAGAAGGUUCUCAUUUUCACUUUGGGGGCUUCGGCCAUUCCUAGGCUGCGAUUCCCAGUGGAGC
rnacentral:lncRNA from 1 species